rnacentral:rRNA from 1 species
AUUGAACGCUGGCGGUAUGCUUUACACAUGCAAGUCGAACGGCAGCACGGGGGCAGCCCUGGUUGCGGGUGGCCGACGGGCGAGUGAUACAUCGGUACAUGCCCAUUCGCGGGUUCGAACGGGACAACGGAUACGCUCAUACCCCAUUAGCUCUGACGAUGUACGCGGGGGACCUUCGGGCCUCGCGCGCUCGCACGGGCCGAUGUCCGAUUAGCUAGUUGGUGGGGUAAAGGCCUACCAAGCCGACGAUCCGUAGCUGGUCUGAGAGGACGAUCAGCCACACUGGAACUGAGACACGGCCCAGACUCCUACGGGAGGCAGCAGUGGGGAAUUUUGGACAAUGGGCGCAAGCCUGAUCCAGCCAUUCCGCGUGCAGGACGAAGGCCUUCGGGUUGUAAAGUGCUUUUGUACGGAACGAAAAGGCUCUGGUUAAUACCUGGGGGUCAUGACGGUACCGAAAGAAUAAGCACCGGCUAACUACGUG